AAGUCGUAACAAGGUUUCCGUAGGUGAACCUGCGGAAGGAUCAUUACCGUAGGGGGGCUUGCCCCUCUUCGAGAUGGCACCCUUGAUUUUUGAGCACCCUCUUCGCUCGUCGAGCAUGCCCGACAGCGGAUAACCUAAACCCUUGAUUGCAAUAGUAGUACGCUCUGAUAAACCAAACAAAAGUCAAAACUUUCAACAACGGAUCUCUUGGUUCUG
rnacentral:misc_RNA from 1 species